rnacentral:rRNA from 1 species
UACGGAGGGGGGCGAGCGUUUAUUCGGAAUUAUUGGGGCGUAAAGGGCGCGUAGGCGGCCUUGUAAGUCAAAGGUGAAAUCCCUCGGCUCAACCGAGGAAUUGCCUUUGAAACUGCGAGGCUUGAGUCCGGGAGAGGGUAGCGGAAUUCCCAGUGUAGCGGUGAAACGCGUAGAUACUGGGAGGAACACCAGUGGCGAAGGCGGCUACCUGGACCGGAACUGACGCUGAGGCGCGAAAGCUAGGGGAGCAAACAGGG